rnacentral:rRNA from 1 species
AUGAAUAUUCUCGUGUGGAACUGCCGGGGGGGGGACUGUCGGACAGUUCGUGAGGUUUUGGCCCUCUCAAAAGCCAAUUCCUCGGGGCUUGUGUUUUUGUCUGAGACAAGGCAGGCCUCUACAAAGAUGGAGAGAUUAAAAUGGAGGUUACACUUGAAGGGUUUUGCGGGUGUUUCGAGUGAUGGUCUCAGUGGAGGAUUCGCGCUCUAUUGGGAUGAGAAGCUUAACGUG